UCAUUGGUUGCACAUGUCGAAGUUCACAAGACUUGCUCAGGCGUAGAACAACUGCUAUUGCUUUUUUAUGUGUUUUCCUUUUACGUUCUACUAACCCAUAACAGCAACAAUGUCUUGUUCUGUCGCUUCUCCUGAAUAUCUUAAUGAACUUCUCAGCGACAAAACAACGGUAUCGAAAAUGCCCAAGAUAUUUCUUCACGCCGAAAGAUUGCUGGAUCAAGAAAUAAGCAGAGUUAGAAAUGAGCUCUUCCAUGGAGUGAUCAAGAAUGAACCAGACGGAGUGUUUGGGGAACUUCAACUUCCAGCUUCUUCAGGGCCUAGAGUAAAAUUGUCAGAAAAGGUCUAUGCCCCAGUCAAAGAAUACCCAAAGUUUAAUUUUGUUGGUAGAGUAAUCGGCCCACGGGGAAUGACUUUAAGAGAAGUUGAAUCUUCUACUGGAUGCAAACUGUUAGUCAGAGGAAAAGGUUCUAUGAAAGAUAAAAAAUUGGAAGAAGAGAAACGGGGCCAACCGAACUAUGAACACUUAGAGGAGGAUCUGCACGUGCUCAUAUCAGUGGAAGAUACAGAGGAGAGAGCAAAGUUGAGACUUGCAAAAGCUGUUGAAAAAGCCAAAGAUCUUCUUCAACCUGUGGAUGAGGGAGAAGAUGAAUUAAAAAAGAAACAGUUGAAAGACCUGGCAUUAAUGAAUGGCACUUUGAGGGAACAAGCAGGAUGCUUUUUUUCACCGGAAGAUACUAUUUGUGUAGGCAAUACUCCAGUUAUACACAAUGGUCUUCUGGGGAUGCCUCUUCCACCUGCCUUAGCUGGAUAUGGGUUUGCAAGACCUCCUGUUCCAAGUGCAUACCCUGCCAGCCUUUCAGGACUGGAAUUUGCAUCAUAUGCAACCAGACCAGGAACCAUUUUUGACUAUGGACUGGAAACUUCCAUCCUUGGUGAGUCUGACUUAACAAGUUUACUAACAAGCCUGACACAAUGACCCACAAAAGAGUAUCGUUUGGAGGUGCAGUUAAACCACGGAGACCUAUACGGGAACAUCCUUACCAAAGAUGAAACUAAUUCUGCAGAAGACCAACUAAUAACCAGGCUAAAUGUAAAGCCUGGAGAAACUGCUAAAGUUCUUUGUGUUGUGCCUGCAGUCUGCACUUGACUAUGGACUAAUUGAUUACUGUCUAUUGCAAAAAAUGAGUUUUGUAACAAAUGAUCCUAAUAUAUUUCUGUAUGUUUGAAGAGAAUUUAUCAGAUUUAAUAAUGUAAUAUAUACUGAAAUUUAUAUGUUGUAGUGUUGUCAAUGUAUGUCACUAGACUGCCCUUUCAGCUGCACUUGCAUUUUUUCCCUUUCUAAUUGCAUAUGUAUAAAAAGCUAAAGCAAGAUAGAUGACAUGUACAAAUAAAAUUCUUAAGGAGUAAAACAAAUUGCAUCAUUCUAUGCAUACAUUUAAACCACUUAUUGAUUUUACCUGGCAAACUAAUUUAGCUUAAGUGAGUGAAAGAUUUCUAUCAUUUAGUAUUUAGACUCAUUUUCUGCUGUUGAGUCGACUUCAUUCUGCUGUACCUUUCCAGCAUAACUACUGGCCCUUUUCAUUCAAGCAAUGGUUUAUUUAACAGACAGGUUCUAUAUUGCUCUUUGUCUGUUUACUCUUUUUUGAAGACAGACUUUUGUUUUUAAUUUUCUUACCAUUCAUAAAAUUGGAGCAAAGAUUCUGAGUGUACAUGUAGAUGAUGUAAUAGACAUAAAAUAUGUGCAUCAUAUUUUGUAUGCAAAUCUUUAUUACUGGUUAUACUAGUUGAAUUAGUAAAAAUAUUGUUUUGCAUUUGACUGUAAUAAUAUCUGGUGUUGCUGAAAGGGUUAUGUAUGGUGUCUGUGAUGGAGAAAGUUAUUACACAGACAAUUCAUAGUGUCAUUGUUCUGUAACCGGUGUGUUAUGUUGUGUUGUUGUAUGUGGAGUGAAUUUUGUUUUGUUGGUGAUUUGUUAUAAAUGAUGAUGAUAAAUGUAAUUAUAAUAUAGCUGGAUAGGGUAACAAUUUAAUCAAUGAAGAUGAAGUGAAACAUGCAUGUUAAUUCAUAGUGUCAUCAGUUAUACAAUGUUAUAUGCUGUACAGUGAAAUUCUGUGACAUUGUUGAUAUUUGGCUUUCAUGUUAAGUGUGCGUUAGAAAUUCUGUUUAUUUCUCUGUGUUGUGAAGUCAUGUGGUUAUUGAUUGUAACAAUAAAGAUCUAAUUUUGAGACUAAACUUGUUCAAUUGUAACAUUCUUUUAACUUUUACUAGUGGUGCCAUUGGAUAACCAAAACUAGAUUUCAUUCAACUGCCACUUGAUUGCCAUCAUCUUGGCCACAACCCUUUCUAUCUCCUCCUCCUCCUCCCCCUCCUCUUCCCUCUGUGUCAUUGUGGUUUAUAAAGGAACUGCUGUAAUUAUUGAACCUGUCAUUCCCAUAAAAGGCUUGUCUGCAUGUCUUUGGUGGAAUCUACGUUCCUUAAUUAUUAUUAAUGACAAAUUUUCAGCUGUUUUCUUGAUGUGUAUUCCUUCUCUGACAAGUAACCUUGUUUCAUAGUCAUGACAUCCUGUUAUCCUUUUGCAUGUCUUAAAAAAAGGUGAGGGUGACAAACAGCUAAUGGUACUUUUUUUUAACCAAUCUUUCCCUAAUUUUCCUUUGGGUGUCAGAAGUCCUACCUCUGUUGUGGUGCAGCUUGGCUACAGUGUGGUGAUAGCCUUGUUGAAGUCUGAUUUCUCACUUGCUACUGUCUUGCAGUCUGGUUGCAGACUUGCUGUAGUCUUACUCUUGUCUUUUUGCACUCUAGCUUCAGACUGGUUGCCUUCUCAUUCUCAUUUUGCUGCUGUCUUACUUUCUUGUUGACUUCUGGGUUCAGACUUGCUGCAGUCUUGUGUAUGUCUUACAGCAGCCCUUCUUGACACAGUCUGGUUGCAUUUUUGCUAGUCUUUAGUUUCGAUUCUAUCUCUCAAAAUUUCUUCUGUCCCACUGCAAUGUGGUUACAGACAUGCUUUGGUAUCAGUUAUGUUCUGUCUUGCAGCAGUCCUGCAGUUUCCUUGCAGUCUUGCAUCAACCUGGCUCCAGUCUUGUUUUCUGGUCAUGAUAUCUACCUAUCUGCCACCUUGCAGUGGUCUUGUUAGAGUAUGGCCCAAGACUUACAGCAGUCUCGCUAGGUUUUUUUGUGUUGUCGUGUCCUUUAAAUUGACGCCAACACCUUAGCGUUGCUUUACAUUGAGGCCACCACUUUUAUUGUUUUUGUUCUCCUUUGCAGCCUUUCUCGCUAUUCUCUACUUCUUUGUUGUUUUUAUGGAAAAGGCACAGAAAAACAGAGCAAACUGAAGGGUGUUGUCAUUUUAGUGAAGUGCAGGUCACAAGCUAAAACUUGUGCCAGUUUCAGUAAAGAAUAAUUUGAAUGGCAUUCAUUUUCCUCUGGUCCUUGAAUUAUUUCCUUAGAGUUUCCCACCAGAGAUUGAGCACAUCAAGCCUCGUUUCGUUGUUUGUUUCUUUGGUUUCUAUUGUUUUUGUCUUUUUUUUCCCAUGAAAUUUGUAUGUCCAGGUGUGAACGUAAGUAUAGUAUGGUGAGAACUUCACUUUUAACUGGACCAUUUGUUACUG